GUUGGAGCCUGGGGCAGGCCAAGAGGGCC
rnacentral:piRNA from 1 species